CUAGCGGCAGGCCUAAUACAUGCAAGUCGGACGGUAGAGAUUCUUUCGGGGAUUUUGAGAGUGGCGCACGGGUGCGUAACGCGUAUGCAACCAACCUUUUACAGGGGGAUAGCCCGGGGAAACCCGGAUUAAUACCCCAUGGUACCGGGACAUGGCAUCAUGAUCCGGUUAAAGUUUUCGGGCGGUAAGAGACGGGCAUGCGUAGGAUUAGCUGGUUGGCGGGGUAACGGCCCACCAAGGCGAUGAUCCUUAGGGGUUCUGAGAGGAAGGUCCCCCACACUGGCACUGAGAUACGGGCCAGACUCCUACGGGAGGCAGCAGUAGGGAAUAUUGGGCAAUGGUCGGAAGACUGACCCAGCCAUGCCGCGUGCAGGAAGACGGCGUUACGCGUUGUAAACUGCUUUUAUACGGGAAGAAAAGGCCCAUGCGUGGGACAUUGCCGGUACCGUAUGAAUAAGCACCGGCUAACUCCGUGCCAGCAGCCGCGGUAAUACGGAGGGUGCGAGCGUUGUCCGGAUUUAUUGGGUUUAAAGGGUGCGCAGGCGGCCUUAUAAGUCAGCGGUGAAAUACUCCGGCUCAACCGGAGGGGUGCCGUUGAUACUGUUGGGCUUGAGUGCGGUCUACGUACAUGGAAUUUAUGGUGUAGCGGUGAAAUGCAUAGAUACCAUAAGGAACACCGAUAGCGAAGGCAUUGUACGGGGCCGUAACUGACGCUGAGGCACGAAAGCGUGGGUAGCGAACAGGAUUAGAUACCCUGGUAGUCCACGCCGUAAACGAUGAUCACUCGCUGUUGUUCCUUUAUGGGGCAGUGGCCAAGCGAAAAGCGUUAAAGUGAUCCACC
rnacentral:rRNA from 1 species